rnacentral:rRNA from 1 species
UAGGGAAUCUUCCACAAUGGACGCAAGUCUGAUGGAGCAAACCCCGCGUGAGUGAAGAAAGGUCUUCGGAUCGUAAAGCUCUGUUGUUGGUGAAGAAGGAUAGAGGCAGUAACUGGUCUUUAUUUGACGGUAAUCAACCAGAAAGUCACGGCUAACUACGUGCCAGCAGCCGCGGUAAUACGUAGGUGGCAAGCGUUGUCCGGAUUUAUUGGGCGUAAAGCGAGCGCAGGCGGAAUGAUAAGUCUGAUGUGAAAGCCCACGGCUCAACCGUGGAACUGCAUCGGAAACUGUCAUUCUUGAGUGCAGAAGAGGAGAGUGGAACUCCAUGUGUAGCGGUGGAAUGCGUAGAUAUAUGGAAGAACACCAGUGGCGAAGGCGGCUCUCUGGUCUGCAACUGACGCUGAGGCUCGAAAGCAUGGGUAGCGAACAGGAUUAGAUACCCUGGUAGUCCAUGCCGUAAACGAUGAGCGCUAGGUGUUGGGGACUUUCCGGUCCUCAGUGCCGCAGCAAACGCAUUAAGCGCUCCGCCUGGGGAGUACGACCGCAAGGUUGAAAC